rnacentral:sRNA from 1 species
GGGCUCAGGAGGCCUCCUGGCCUGGGGUGUGGUGCUGGAUGGUGCUGGAUGUGCUGACCUGGGGUGGAGACCUUCUCUCAGGGACAGUCAUCCUCUGCAUCCCCAGGGCCGAAGCCUGAGAUGGUCUACGACUUCUGGCGCAUGGUGUGGCAGGAGCACUGUUCCAGCAUCGUCAUGAUCACCAAGCUGGUCGAGGUGAAAUGCUCACGGUAUUGGCCGGAGGACUCAGAUACCUACGGGGACAUUAAGAUUACGCUGGUGAAGACGGAGACCCUGGCUGAGUAUGUCGUGCGCACUUUUGCCCUGGAGCGGAGAGGCUACUCUGCCCGGCACGAGGUCCGCCAGUUCCACUUCACAGCGUGGCCAGAGCAUGGCGUCCCCUACCAUGCCACGGGGCUGCUGGCUUUCAUCCGGCGUGUG